rnacentral:rRNA from 1 species
CCUACGGGGGGCAGCAGUGGGGAAUAUUGGACAAUGGGGGCAACCCUGAUCCAGCCAUGCCGCGUGUGUGAAGAAGGCCCUCGGGUUGUAAAGCACUUUCAGUGAGGAAGAACGCCUGGUGGUUAAUACCCAUCAGGAAAGACAUCACUCACAGAAGAAGCACCGGCUAACUCCGUGCCAGCAGCCGCGGUAAUACGGAGGGUGCGAGCGUUAAUCGGAAUUACUGGGCGUAAAGCGCGCGUAGGUGGCUUGAUAAGCCGGUUGUGAAAGCCCCGGGCUCAACCUGGGAACGGCAUCCGGAACUGUCAAGCUAGGGUGCAGGAGAGGAAGGUAGAAUUCCCGGUGUAGCGGUGAAAUGCGUAGAGAUCGGGAGGAAUACCAGUGGCGAAGGCGGCCUUCUGGACUGACACUGACACUGAGGUGCGAAAGCGUGGGUAGCAAACAGGAUUAGAUACCCGGGUAGUC